UCGAUAGAGGCGCAGUGCGCAUCAGUACCUCCGUUUUGAAUGGGCCGGGACCCGGGGCGGAGGGAAAGGGCAAACUGCCGAAGCGUUUUCAGCCCCCCGAAGCUGAGCCGCUGGGACGCCGGAGAACAUCCGUCGGACUGUCACGUAAGUGGAGAGCUAUCA
rnacentral:ncRNA from 1 species